AUUGAACGCUGGCGGCAGGCCUAACACAUGCAAGUCGAGCGGAGCGGCGGACGGGUGAGUAACACGUGGGAGACCUGCCCUGCACUGCGGGAUAAGCCUGGGAAACUGGGUCUAAUACCGGAUAGUUUGGGAUGGGCACGCGGCCUAUCUGUUUGUUGUUGGGGUAAUGGCCUAUCAAGGCGGCGACGGGUAGCAGGCCUGAGAGGGUGGAGGGCCAAAUUGGGACUGAGGCACGGACCAGACGGCUACGGGAGGCAGCGGUGGGGAGUCUUGCACAAUGGGCGGAAGCCUGAUGCAGCGACGCCGCGUGGGGGAUGACGGCCUUCGGGUUGUAAACUCCGUUCACUAUCGACGCGGUAGAUGGAGAAGAAGCACCGGCUAACUCCGUGCCAGCAGCCGCGGUAAUAC
rnacentral:rRNA from 1 species